rnacentral:rRNA from 1 species
UUUAUUGGAGAGUUUGAUCCUGGCUCAGGAUGAACGCUGGCGGCGUGCCUAAUACAUGCAAGUCGAGCGAAUGGAUUGAGAGCUUGCUCUCAAGAAGUUAGCGGCGGACGGGUGAGUAACACGUGGGUAACCUGCCCGUAAGACUGGGAUAACUCCGGGAAACCGGGGCUAAUACCGGAUAACAUUUUGAACUGCAUGGUUCGAAAUUGAAAGGCGGCUUCGGCUGUCACUUAUGGAUGGACCCGC